rnacentral:rRNA from 1 species
AUGAAUAUCUUGAGCUGGAACUGCCGGGGAGGGGGGAAUCCCCGGACAGUUCGAGAAUUGGCGACUAUAUGUCAGUCGCAUUCCCCCACUUUGGUUUUCUUGUGUGAAACUAGACAGAAAGCUGACAGGAUGAGAAGAAUCAGAGGGCGCCUAGGUCUAAAAGGGUUUACGAGCAUGGAUUGCAAUGGACUGAGUGGAGGUCUGGCCCUGUACUGGAACGAG